rnacentral:rRNA from 1 species
GACGAACGCUGGCGGCGUGCCUAAUACAUGCAAGUCGAGCGCAGGAAACUGACGGAACUCUUCGGAGGGAAGGCAGUGGAAUGAGCGGCGGACGGGUGAGUAACACGUAAGGAACCUGCCUCAAGGAUUGGGAUAACUCCGAGAAAUCGGAGCUAAUACCGGAUAGUUCAACGGACCGCAUGGUCCGCUGAUGAAAGGCGCUUCGGCGUCACCUUGAGAUGGCCUUGCGGUGCAUUAGCUAGUUGGUGGGGUAACGGCCCACCAAGGCGACGAUGCAUAGCCGACCUGAGAGGGUGAUCGGCCACACUGGGACUGAGACACGGCCCAGACUCCUACGGGAGGCAGCAGUAGGGAAUCUUCCACAAUGGACGAAAGUCUGAUGGAGCAACGCCGCGUGAGUGAUGAAGGUUUUCGGAUCGUAAAACUCUGUUGUAAGGGAAGAACACGUACGAGAGGUAAUGCUCGUACCUUGACGGUACCUUACGAGAAAGCCACGGCUAACUACGUGCCAGCCGCCGCGGUAAUAC